ensembl:snRNA U4 U4 spliceosomal RNA
AGCUUUGUGCAGUGGCAGUAUCAUAGCCAAUGAUGUUUAUCCGAGGCAUGAUUAUUACUAAUUGAAAACUUUUCCCAAUACCCCACCAUGACGACUUGAAAUAUAGUUGGCAUUGGCAAUUUUUGAUAGUCUCCAUAGAGA